CAGCCGCCACGGUAAUACGUAGGUGGCAAGCGUUGUCCGGAUUUAUUGGGCGUAAAGCGAGCGCAGGCGGUUUCUAAAGUCUGAUGUGAAAGCCCCCGGCUCAACCGGGGAGGGUCAUUGGAAACUGGGAGACUUGAGUGCAGAAGAGGAGAGUGGAAUUCCAUGUGUAGCGGUGAAAUGCGUAGAUAUAUGGAGGAACACCAGUGGCGAAGGCGGCUCUCUGGUCUGUAACUGACGCUGAGGCUCGAAAGCGUGGGAAGCGAACAGGAUUAGAUACCCCUGUAGUCCCUGUCUCUUAUAC
rnacentral:rRNA from 1 species